rnacentral:tRNA from 1 species
GCCUCGGUAGCUCAGUCUGGUAGAGCACAUGGCUGUUAACCAUGCGGUCACAGGUUCGAAUCCUGUUCGGGGCG